UCGCACAGCCGGGGAGUUAGCGGUGCCCUGUACCUGCAAUCCGCUAUAGCAGGGGUGAUGUCCGGUCCCGGGUAGCAUAUUGUCGGGCUGCCCUUCAUAAGUGAUGUUGACGUUUGGGUCUCGCGCAAUGGCAGCCUGUGAACCGUGUCAGGGUAGGAAUACAGCAGCACUAAGCAGUGUCUCUCAUGUGCCGUGAGGGUGCCUGGGCCGAGUUAACUGU
rnacentral:SRP_RNA from 1 species